UGGGUGGCGCAACGGUAGCGCUGCUGACUCCAGAUCAGAAGGUUGCGUGUUCAAAUCACGUCCGGCACAG